rnacentral:rRNA from 1 species
CCAAUAGCGUAUAUUAAAGUUGUUGCAGUUAAAAAGCUCGUAGUUGCACUUCGGGAUCAAUGGAUCGGUCAUGCCAUCGGUAUGUACUGGUCUCAUUGGUUCUCACCUUCUAAGGAACCUUAAUGUCAUUCAUUUGAUGUUUUGGGGAAUUAGGACUGUUACCUUGAAAAAAUUAGAGUGUUUAAAGCAGGCUAACGCUUGAAUACAUUAGCAUGGAAUAAUGAAAUAGGACAUCGCAUUCUAUUUUGUUGGUUUCUAGGAUCGAUGUAAUGAUUAAUAGGGAUAGUUGGGGGCAUUAGUAUUCAAUUGUCAGAGGUGAAAUUCUUGGAUUUAUUGAAGACUAACUACUGCGAAAGCAUUUGCCAAGGAUGUUUUCAUUAAUCAAGAACGAAAGUUAGGGGAUCGAAGACGAUCAGAUACCGUCGUAGUCUUAACCAUAAACUAUGCCGACUAGGGAUCGGAUGAUGUUGAUUUUUUAAUGACUCAUUCGGCACCUUACG